GACGAACGCUGGCGGCGUGCUUAACACAUGCAAGUCGAACGGAAAGGCCCUGCUUUUGUGGGGUGCUCGAGUGGCGAACGGGUGAGUAACACGUGAGUAACCUGCCCUUGACUUUGGGAUAACUUCAGGAAACUGGGGCUAAUACCGGAUAGGAGCUCCUGCUGCAUGGUGGGGGUUGGAAAGUUUCGGCGGUUGGGGAUGGACUCGCGGCUUAUCAGCUUGUUGGUGGGGUAGUGGCUUACCAAGGCUUUGACGGGUAGCCGGCCUGAGAGGGUGACCGGCCACAUUGGGACUGAGGUAGGGCCCAGACUCCUACGGGAGGCAGCAGUGGGGAGUAUUGCACAAUGGGCGGAAGCCUGAUGCAGCAACGCCGCGUGCGGGAUGACGGCCUUCGGGUUGUAAACCGCUUUCGCCUGUGACGAAGCGUGAGUGACGGUAAUGGGUAAAGAAGCACCGGCUAACUACGUG
rnacentral:rRNA from 1 species